GUGGGGAAUAUUGCACAAUGGGCGCAAGCCUGAUGCAGCAACGCCGCGUGAGGGACGACGGCCUUCGGGUUGUAAACCUCUUUUAGCAGGGAAGAAGCGAAAGUGACGGUACCUGCAGAAAAAGCACCGGCUAACUACGUGCCAGCAGCCGCGGUAAUACGUAGGGUGCAAGCGUUGUCCGGAAUUAUUGGGCGUAAAGAGCUCGUAGGCGGUUUGUCGCGUCUGCUGUGAAAACCCGAGGCUCAACCUCGGACCUGCAGUGGGUACGGGCAGACUAGAGUGCGGUAGGGGAGAUUGGAAUUCCUGGUGUAGCGGUGGAAUGCGCAGAUAUCAGGAGGAACACCGAUGGCGAAGGCAGAUCUCUGGGCCGUAACUGACGCUGAGGAGCGAAAGCGUGGGGAGCGAACAGGAUUAGAAACCCGGGUAGUCC
rnacentral:rRNA from 1 species